rnacentral:rRNA from 1 species
UACGUAGGUGGCGAGCGUUGUCCGGAAUUACUGGGUGUAAAGCGCGUGUAGGCGGGAGGCCAAGUCUGCGGUGAAAUCGCUCGGCUCAACUGGGCGGGGUCCGUGGAAACUGGUCACCUGGAGGACGGUAGAGGCGAGUGGAAUUCCGAGUGUAGAGGUGAAAUUCGUAGAUAUUCGGAAGAACACCAGUGGCGAAGGCGACUCACUGGACGACUGUUGACGCUGAGGUACGAAAGCGUGGGGAGCAAACAGG